GAUGAACGCUAGCUACAGGCUUAACACAUGCAAGUCGAGGGGAAACGAUAUUGGAAGCUUGCUUCCGAUAGGCGUCGACCGGCGCACGGGUGAGUAACGCGUAUCCAACCUGCCCAUCACUUGGGGAUAACCUUGCGAAAGUAAGACCAAUACCCAAUGACGUCUCUAGAAGACAUCUGAAGGAGAUUAAAGAUUUAUCGGUGAUGGAUGGGGAUGCGUCUGAUUAGCUUGUUGGCGGGGUAACGGCCCACCAAGGCGACGAUCAGUAGGGAUUCUGAGAGGAAGGUCCCCCACAUUGGAACUGAGACACGGUCCAAACUCCUACGGGAGGCAGCAGUGAGGAAUAUUGGUCAAUGGGCGAGAGCCUGAACCAGCCAAGUAGCGUGCAGGAAGACGGCCCCAUGGGUUGUAAACUGCUUUUAUAAGGGAAUAAAGUGGGAGUCGUGACUCCUUUUGCAUGUACCUUAUGAAUAAGGACCGGCUAAUUCCGUGCCAGCCGCCGCAGUAA
rnacentral:rRNA from 1 species